rnacentral:rRNA from 1 species
AUUCUGCUGAGGACAACUGGUCCGCCCUCUGGGUGAGUAUCUGGUCUGGCCUUGGCAUCUUCUUGGGUAACACAGUUGCACUUGAUUGUGUGGUGUGGAACUCAAGGCUUUUACUUUGAGGAAAUCAGAGUGCUUCCAGCAGGCUACUGCCUUGAAUACAUUAGCAUGGAAUAAUAACAUAAGGCUUUGGUUUUAUUUUGUUGGUUUUUAGAAUUGAAGUAAUGAUUAAUAGGGAUAGUUGGGGGCAUUUGUAUUUAACU